rnacentral:rRNA from 1 species
GUGUCAGCAGCCGCGGUAAUACGGAGGGUGCGAGCGUUAUUCGGAAUUACUGGGCGUAAAGCGCGUGUAGGCGGCAGGGCAAGUCUGGUGUGAAAGUUUGCCGCUCAACGGUAAAAUUGCCUUUGAUACUGUCAGGCUUGAAUAGGCGCGAGGCAGGCGGAAUGUGACAUGUAGCGGUGAAAUGCAUAGAUAUGUCAUAGAACACCAAUUGCGAAGGCAGCUUGCCAGAGCCUUAUUGACGCUGAGGCACGAAAGCGUGGGGAGCGAACAGGAUUAGAUACCCUGGUAGUCCACGCCCUAAACGAUGCUUACUCGACGUGCGGUUUUCGGAUUGUGCGUCCAAGCGAAAGCGCUAAGUAAGCCACCUGGGGAGUACGCCGGCAACGGUGAAACUUAAAGGAAUUGACGGGG